GUCCUGCUUGUGCAGCGGCUGGGCGAGGGGCGCGCACUUGGGAAAGCGGGUCAGCGGGCUGCUUGCAGCCGCACUGCUUGCUCCCCUGCUGUCCUUGCGAGGACCACUGCCGCGCUCACCUGAGGCCCUUCCUACAAGGGGAAGGUUGGUUACUACAGAGACGUGACUGGGAGCGAGGGAACCUCAUGCUGUCUUACUUCCUGAAUGCCGGGAGCUCAGUAAAGCAAGGCGGGGUGAGUCGGCGGGGCUCUGGACCCUAGAGGUCUUGAGUCCCCCGGUCCCAUCUUUCUCUUCAGUCUGUCUUUGUGUUUCCUUAUGCCUUGCGGCACCCGUCAUUCGCCCUGAGUUGCCGAGCUGGUCUCGGCACGUGGUGCCCAACGUGGGGCGCGAGGGGCUCGCAUGACGAAGGCUCACGAAAAGUGAAAUUAAAGAUUGGGAAGUGCUGUGAAGCCCCGAGAGGGGAGUGAGAGGCCUCUGGAAAUUCCCUGCUGAUGGAUGAUAUCUUGUGUGCUGCUCCUAAUCAAGAUGUACUUACUUCCGUGUACACUAACAUGCAACUCUGCUUUGAUAAAGCAGGACUUAAAAUAGCUCCAGAAAAGGCUACCGAUACAGCAGCUGAGAGGCAUUUCCGAACCUCGUCCAGGAAUGUGACUCAUUUUAAUGAUACACGGCCACUGACGUGGUGGCAGGACCCAGUGACUAAUAUUUGGUCACCAGGAAAGUUAGCUACAUGGGGAAGAGGGUUUGCUUGUGUGUCACCAGGACCAGGCCUGGAACCUGUGUGGAUCCCA